rnacentral:lncRNA from 1 species
UAGACAAAAAUGAUAUGGAAAUAUGUAACGAGUUCAGAAAUAAUGAGAGGUCAAACAAUCCAAUUUCGAAAGGAUUUCAAGGUAUUUAUCAUAUACUUAGCAUUGAUAUGAUAGCUUUUGCAUAUGUGUAAUGAGCGGAAGUACACAAGCCAUAAUUUCCCACCCGGUCUGAUAACCCAUAUCAGCCCGGGCUGAUAACCCAUAUCAGGGGCGUCUCGUGCAAAAACCCAUAACAGUGCUUUUCGUGCAAGUUACUUCCGGUGUUUCUGGUAUCGAUUGUUUACUUUUCCAUUGUGACGUCAGAUAUUUUUUAUGACGACGUCAAAAUUUACGGGAACUUUUGUCCCCAGUUAAGUACUUGCUAACAAAUGCCCUUGACAAUUAAGAAUCAUUUUAUAGUACAACAAACAUGGAGUAAUAAUGAUCAUAAAACUCUUCCAAAUUUUCAAUGUUUCAAAAU